AUUGAACGCUGGCGGCAGGCCUAACACAUGCAAGUCGAGCGAGCGGCGGACGGGUGAGUAAUGUCUGGGAAACUGCCUGAUGGAGGGGGAUAACUACUGGAAACGGUAGCUAAUACCGCAUACCAUCAGAUGUGCCCAGAUGGGAUUAGCUAGUAGGUGGGGUAACGGCUCACCUAGGCGACGAUCCCUAGCUGGUCUGAGAGGAUGACCAGCCACACUGGAACUGGGACACGGGCCAGAGUCCUACGGGAGGAAGCAGGGGGGAAGAUUGCACAAUGGGCGCAAGCCUGAUGCAGCGAUGCCGCGUGUGUGAAGAAGGCCUGCGGGUUGUAAAGCACUUUCAGCGGGGAGGCGGUACCCGCAGAAGAAGCACCGGCUAACUCCGUGCCAGCAUCCGCGGUAAUAC
rnacentral:rRNA from 1 species